rnacentral:lncRNA from 1 species
UCCGUUUUUUAAAGCCAAAAAAUGUAAGAAUGGAAUGUACUGGCUCACUGCUCCCACGGUGUCCUUACCAGCACAACUUACCCCAUCCCUCCCUAGCCCACUCUUGAGGAUACUUUCUUGCCACUGUCAGGCUUACUCCUGCCUCCUAGACUGAGGAAAGAAAAGCCUCCUGGUUUGGAGCUCAUAAUCAAGUCAGCCUUGCUGCAGGGCUCAUUUUAAGCCAGUAUCCUGGACCAGAUAAGGAAGCUGAAGCUUUGAGAAUUUAAUUUGCUCAAGGGGAGGCCAGGACAAGAAAUAAUGAAGAGUCCGAUGUGGCAGGAAUGUAGGAAACAAGUCAAUGAUGGAAGAUAAAUAUGGAGACGUGAUGAAGGCAAAAUUCUGAAGGGUCUUAGAGCCCAUUAUAAGACGUUUGGUUUUUAUGAAUAUUUCACUGAUUGCCUUGCCCGCUUCUCAAAGGCCCACUUCUCUGUGGAAUGAUGCAGUUGCUAAGAAGAGCUGUUAAUGUCAUGACCUCAAUGAAUAAAAAAGACUUCCUUUUCUCCAUGCCCACUCAAGUAAAAGGCUUCUCUCUGAACUCCUGCUAAUUUUUCAUCAGCAAAGGUGCACAGCCUUUUGGAAGUGAAAUGAUUACUAGUGAAGAAAAAGAAAGAACCUAACACUUAUUUUACAGUAAGUAGCAAGUUGAUCUCCAUUAGGGUCAACCCUCUGGGGUGCUCUGGCCCUUCCCUUUAUGUUCUGAGACAGAUACAUCCCUGAGAAAAUUCUAGUCUCUUCUAAUCCUGGAAUAAUUUAGGGAAGCAAGUCUUGAACUUCUUCCAUCAAAGCCCAAGAAGUAACCAUAAAAGAUGUCUUAAGGGUUCUAGAAACACAUCACCAAGGGGAUUGGAUAAAAAUGUGAAAUUUGUUUAAAACCUGAAAUGUUCACUUUUAAAAAGCAUGCAAAUUGUGACUACCCUUCCACAAUGUAUUUGUUUUACUGCAAAAAUAAUUUAAAUGUCUUUCAGAUUAAAUUAUGAAAAUAUUUACCUCCAAAUUUUGGCAUGAAGUUAAAACUCCUGGAUAAUGUGCUAUGUUUAUUCUGUGGGUUUUUAUAUCCCUGGCACACUGCCAUGUAUCUUGCCGAAUAGCCAAAUAUUAGGAUAUUAUACUACCCUGAUGAUUUUGCUAAAUAAUUAUUAUGCCAAACAAGACAGUAAUUCAAAGAAGGACAAGUGUCUGAACUCUUGUUCUUUCAGAAAGCUUAAGAGUAGUAGUGAGUGCAUCUGCUGCGUGACUCCUGCAAUCUCAGCAUCUGUUUCUAGUUAGAGAGCCAGUGAGUAAAUUGAAUCAGGGUCACUGAAGCAGGUGUUCUUGGUGAAUUGCAGAGCCUCCCAGUGACCACUCUUCAGACAAAACUUCUUAUAAUAGCUUCCUUCCCUGAAUCUUUUGCGAAACAUCAAAUCACAAAGAGAUCUUAUUAUCAGAUCAAGUGCUCAGUUGGUUCUUCCUCCCUGUGUCCCCCAAACCAUCCAGGAGCAGGGGCUUGAAAGAUUUACAACACUUUACACUACUUCAACAGCUAUUUUAGUCCUUAGAUUUUAUUGCCCCAACCAUGGUCUCCUUGGGAACAGACUGAAUCUGGAUCCAGAAGUGGCUGCUGAGGGAGAAGGUAGACAAGGUAGACCAAGAGCAACUAAGUUACGAAAGCAUUUCAAGGAUGGAGUGAUCAACUGGACCAAAUGACACUGAGAGAUUAAGAAAAGAUGUAAUUCACAUUGGAUUGGUGGUAUGAUGGUUAUUCAGGGAAAGGUCAAGAUGAUUAUUGUGAAAAGUUUGGGAAUUUUUUUUUACUUUAAGUUCUGGGAUACAUAUGCAGAAUGUGCAGGUUUGUUACAUAGGUAUACAGGUGCCAUGAUGGUUUCUGCACCUAUCAACCCGUCAUCUAGGUUUUAAGCCCCACAUUAUUAGCUAUUUAUCCUGAUGCUAUCCCUCCCCUUGUCCCUCACCCUGCAACAGGCCCCGGUGUGUGAUAUUCCCCUCCCUGUGUCCAUGUGUUCUCACUGUUCAACUCCCACUUAUGAGUGAGAACAUGCAGUGUUUGGUUUUCUGUUCCUGUGUUAGUUUGCUGAGAAUGAUGGUUUCCAGCUUCAUCCAUGUCCCUGCAAAGGACAUGAACUCAUUCCUAUUUACGGCUGCAUAGUAUUCCAUGGUGUAUCUGUGCCACAUUUUCUUUAUCCGGUCUAUCAUUGAUGGGCAUUUGGGUUGGUUCCAUAACUAAAGGAAAAAGUGGACUCAUAAGAGAAGUUAAUUUUAAAAUAGAAAACUGGAAUGUUUGCCUGCUGAUGGGAGUGAUCCAAUAGAGAAAAUUAGUGCAAAAAAUGUGGAUAAACAAAAGCACUUAUACAUCAGGUAUAUAAGAUUGUUCUGUUCAAUGAUGUUUUGCUAUAACCUCGAUGAGAAAAAAAAAUCAAUUCCCCAGCCAUGGCCAUUUUCUGUGUGAAGUUUGCGUGUUCUCUUCAUGUCUGCAUUGGUUUCCUCCCACAUCCCAAAGCCGUGCCACUGGCAUCCCAUUGGCAUGUCUGAAUUGUCCCAGUAUGAGUGGUGUGGGUGUGUGUGAGGGUUCUCUGCGAUGAGAUGGCAUCCUGUUCGGGACUGGUUCUUACCUGAACCUCCAGGACAGGCUCCACAGUAGGUCACCACCUACAAUCUUGAACUGGAACAGUUGGGCAAGUAAUUAUCUGACUUGUUUGUAUUAAUCUUUCUUAAAAGUGUAGCUCACAUUUAUUUCAUUGUUUAAUAUUGGAAGUGUUUUGGUCUUUAUUUUGAAGGUUGGGUGAUGAUUUUGUGACCAGAAAUAUGCUGUAGGAAAUUAACUCUAGUUUAUUUCAAUUAGCCUAUGUUAAGUUGAUUUCCUUUUACAUCGUUUCACUUACAAUCGUAGCUUCCAAGAACCUAUCAAUGACAUUAAGUGAAGACUAUUUGUAUAUGCCGAGUUGUCAGUCUCUGCCGAUAGAAUAGGGGAAGGAAGUUAAGGAAUGAAGCCCACAAAUUCCUUCUUCAUCUCUCAAACUUGAGAAAGGGCUGCCCAUUAGUCCUCCUUGAUCAACUAAGUUUGAACUGUCUGCAAUAUCCUUGCCCUAUUCGACCCCCAGUAUGAACUAAGUGGAUAUGUAAGAUCUUACCUAUUUUUUCUGUGCCUGUUCAUUUUGUCUCAAAACAAAAACAAAGUGAAGGCUCAUUAAUGAGAAAUCAAUGAAACAAUAAUUGAUCACACACCUUUAACAGCUGCCUCCUCUUAACAAAUCAUCAUAUAUCUAACCCCAAGCCCAAACCACCACCACCGCAUAUGGCUCUGUUAUCCCUGUGUAGGUUCCUAGGCUAUAGGUCUCGGGUCUCCUAAGUCCAGCCCAUUCUAUGACCUUUUCAUUUCCACCUAUGUGACAAUAUAGAGUAGAUGCCUCUAUUCCCAACUUGGAAGUAAAGAAAAUCCUGAAAUGCCAGAAUUGAUAAGAGAGAUAUGAUAAAAGCAAUUUAAAGCAAAAUUUCAGAAGAAGAGAAAAGAACUUGGCUAAAACCUAAUUAGUAAUUUCAACAUUAUUUCAAAAAAAGAAUGUGAUACAAUUCCCAGACAGUGUGUGCCAUGGAACCCUGGGAAGGCACAGCAAACUCAUAUGGGUGCAGAGGGGUAUUUUAAAUUUUAGAGGAAACCAGCAAUUUGUCAGAAACAAUGUCAACUGCUAGUUCCUGGAGAUCCACACUUUCAACAAUAAACAUUGCUACAUUCUUUUUGAUGAUGUCAUAUCUUUGCAAACUUGGUUUUUAUGCAGUAGCUCUGAUAAAAAACAAUUGCUUUGUGAAAAUCACUGUGGGACAGAAAAUGAGAGUGGCAGUGUCCAAUCUGAUUCUGAGGUUUGAGAAAGUGCACGGUAUCCAACAGAUACACACAUUCUAUUAGCGUGUAAUUGAGGUCAUUUAAAAAUGAAAUACAUUUUUUUUUUCAAAAAAAAAAAGAAAAGUAUGUGAUCAUCAAAAAGAGGGUUACUGUCUCUGGGGCAUGGAACCAUGGAAGUCAAUGGGUAAAUGUUAGUGUUUGUUCCAUAAUGGGACCAAGGAAUCCAGCCAUUCAGUCCUGACAGCUGGUAUAUCCCUAAGGUAGAGCUGAGCAUUUAGCCAUCUUAGCCUGACAUCAUUAAAGACUUGAGCCACACUCUGUACCCAAUAAAUACAUCAUAAAUCCCGUCAUAAAUCAACUUCUCAUGUUAAUUUAUCUGCAGAAGACAAUACUGUUCUCAGAGUAAGAUAGGAUUUUCUACCACUGGCAUUAUGAAUUAACUAAUUGUCGUUCUUAUUUAUAUGUCCAUGCCCUAUGAGCUGGAUUAGAGUGAGAUUUGCCCUGUGGGAUGGUACACUGCACCCCAGAGCAUUGACAUAAUCAGUUGGCUACAUUUACGGAGUUCAGGGUCAAGGAACAGAACUUCUGGGCUUGGGAAAGUAAUAUACUGCAUGUAUAUGUGUGUGUAUAUAUAUAUGUGUGUAUGCAUGUAUAUAUUUAUGUUGUUACGUGUGUGUAUAUAUAUAUAUGUUGUUACGCAUAUAUAUGUAUGUAUGUGUGUGUGUAUAUAUAUAUAUGUUGUUACGUAUAAGAGAC